rnacentral:rRNA from 1 species
AUUGAACGCUGGCGGCAUGCCUUACACAUGCAAGUCGAACGGCAGCACGGACUUCGGUCUGGUGGCGAGUGGCGAACGGGUGAGUAAUGUAUCGGAACGUACCUAGUAGCGGGGGAUAACUACGCGAAAGCGUAGCUAAUACCGCAUACGCCCUUCGGGGGAAAGCGGGGGACCUUCGGGCCUCGCACUAUUAGAGCGGCCGAUAUCGGAUUAGCUAGUUGGUGGGGUAACGGCUCACCAAGGCGACGAUCCGUAGCUGGUUUGAGAGGACGACCAGCCACACUGGGACUGAGAGACGGCCCAGACUCCUACGGGAGGCAGCAGUGGGGAAUUUUGGACAAUGGGGGAAACCCUGAUCCAGCCAUCCCGCGUGUGCGAUGAAGGCCUUCGGGUUGUAAAGCACUUUUGGCAGGAAAGAAACGGCACGGGCUAAUAUCCCGUGCAACUGACGGUACCUGCAGAAUAAGCACCGGCUAACUACGUGCCAGCCGCCGCCGUAACAC